rnacentral:rRNA from 1 species
GAUCCUGGCUCAGGACGAACGCUGGCGGCGUGCUUAACACAUGCAAGUCGAACGAGAAUCUACUGAAAGAGUUUUCGGACAAUGGAUGUAGAGGAAAGUGGCGGACGGGUGAGUAACGCGUGAGGAACCUGCCUUGAAGAGGGGGACAACAGUUGGAAACGACUGCUAAUACCGCAUGACGCAUAGAGGUCGCAUGAUCUUUAUGCCAAAGAUUUAUCGCUUCAAGAUGGCCUCGCG